rfam:Caenorhabditis japonica strain DF5081 Contig17796.17, whole genome shotgun sequence.
CCUGUGAUAGCUCAGUCGGUUAGAGCGUGGGUCUAAUAAGCCCAAGGUCGCAGGUUCGACCCCUGCUGGCGGCA